rnacentral:rRNA from 1 species
UGGGGAAUAUUGGACAAUGGGCGCAAGCCUGAUCCAGCCAUGCCGCGUGUGUGAUGAAGGUCUUAGGAUUGUAAAGCACUUUCACCGGAGAAGAUAAUGACGGUAUCCGGAGAAGAAGCCCCGGCUAACUUCGUGCCAGCAGCCGCGGUAAUACGAAGGGGGCUAGCGUUGUUCGGAUUUACUGGGCGUAAAGCGCACGUAGGCGGACUAUUAAGUCAGGGGUGAAAUCCCGGGGCUCAACCCCGGAACUGCCUUUGAUACUGGUAGUCUUGAGUUCGAGAGAGGUGAGUGGAAUUCCGAGUGUAGAGGUGAAAUUCGUAGAUAUUCGGAGGAACACCAGUGGCGAAGGCGGCUCACUGGCUCGAUACUGACGCUGAGGUGCGAAAGCGUGGGGAGCAAACA